ACGCUCGACACCUACGCAGGCAGCAGUGGGGAAUAUUGCACAAUGGGGGAAACCCUGAUGCAGCGACGCCGCGUGAAGGAAGAAGUAUCUCGGUAUGUAAACUUCUAUCAGCAGGGAAGAAAGUGACGGUACCUGACUAAGAAGCCCCGGCUAACUACGUGCCGGCAGCCGCGGUAAUCUGAGCGGGCUGGCAAGGC
rnacentral:rRNA from 1 species